rnacentral:rRNA from 1 species
UACGAAGGGUGCAAGCGUUACUCGGAAUUACUGGGCGUAAAGCGUGCGUAGGUGGUUUCUUAAGUCUGCUGUGAAAGCCCCGGGCUCAACCUGGGAAUUGCAGUGGAUACUGGGGAGCUAGAGUGCGGUAGAGGGUAGUGGAAUUCCCGGUGUAGCGGUGAAAUGCGUAGAGAUCGGGAGGAACACCAGUGGCGAAGGCGGCUACCUGGACCAGCACUGACACUGAGGCACGAAAGCGUGGGGAGCAAACAG